rnacentral:rRNA from 1 species
CCUACGGGAGGCAGCAGUAGGGAAUUUUCGUCAAUGGGCGCAAGCCUGAACGAGCAAUGCCGCGUGAACGAGGAAGGUCUUCGGAUCGUAAAGUUCUGUUGAAGGGGAAAAAGAGCGGAGAGAGGAAAUGCUUUCUGAUUGAUAUUACCCUUCGAGGAAGUCACGGCUAACUACGUGCCAGCAGCCGCGGUAAU